rnacentral:misc_RNA from 1 species
AAGUCGUAACAAGGUUUCCGUAGGUGAACCUGCGGAAGGAUCAUUAACACGUAUCCACGUAACUAACAACAUAUCAACAUUUACAACGAACUGUGCUCCCUGUUGACCCAAUCUCUUUAGCUGACCGGUUUCCGUCUAUAGUGGCUCCCCGUUCUGUCAAAAGUUCGGUGUGGGAUGUCUGGCUGGACUAUCACUCCUUUGAGAGUGUGGCUAAGUAAACGGGAUUCAACAGGCUUACUAACUCUAACUGCCCGUGGAGCUAAUCCAAUCCCAACCAUUUUGGGCGGCAGGAAGGACCCCAUACCAAUUUCACCCUAUUUUACCCUAUUUGGCUAAUACUUUACGAUUCUGUUUGGGGAGAAAUCCUUGAACGCAUAGAAUCGAUCUAAGAUUUAUCUUAACUAAGCACAACUCUUAGCAAUGGAUAUCUUGGUUCUC